AGUAAGGUCAGCUAAAUAAGCUCUCGGGCCCAUACCCCGAGUAUGUCGGUUAAAAUCCUUCCCCUAUUA